rnacentral:rRNA from 1 species
CCUACGGGAGGCAGCAGUAGGGAAUCUUCCGCAAUGGGCGAAAGCCUGACGGAGCAACGCCGCGUGAGUGAUGAAGGUCUUCGGAUCGUAAAACUCUGUUAUUAGGGAAGAACAACGU